CCCCUAGAUGUUCUGGGCCGCACGCGCGCUACACUGAACAGUUCAACAAGUCUUAACCUUGGCCGAUAGGUCUGGGUAAUCUUUGAACGCUGUUCGUGAUUGGGAUAGACCUUUGCAAUUAUGGGUCUUCAACGAGGAAUUCCGAGUAAACGCAAGUCAUCAGCUUGCAUUGAUUACGUCCCUGCCCUUUGUACACACCGCCCGUCGCACCUACCGAUUGAAUGGUCCGGUGAAAUCUCGGGACGGCGGCUUGGUCGCUUGCGUCCGACUGCUGAAACUUGAUUAAACCAUAUCAUUUAGAGGAAGGUGAAGUCGUAACA
rnacentral:rRNA from 1 species